GCGCUUCUCGGAGCCGCCGCAGCUGGAGCGGCUCCCUCCGCCUCGCCUCGCCUCGCCUCGCCGCGGCGUGGCUGCCUCUGCCCUUCCCACCCCUCUGACCGCCGCCCGAGCUUCUUUUUUUCACCUUCUGGUGUGCGGAACGAGAGCGGAGUUUACGCUUAGGCCUGCGCCGAGAGGAAGGCAGCCAGCGAUUUUUGAAGAAGUGAGCGCUGAAAAAAACACACGUCUGGGGUUUUGGUGGGGAGGACUGCAAAAUGCCGCGUCGCGGGAGGCAGACCUAAAUAAGGCGCCUUAAAAUGAACCCACAAAGGCGGCCGUCGCCCUCCGUCCCGGCGGUGAGAUGUGUCAGCCCUGGGUCACUCGCUGGAGUUACUGUUGCCGCUCACGUCCGUCUCCGGGGUGUAAAGAGGCAGUGUGGCAGGAACUGAAACACCCGAUGCUGAAAGCGUUGCCGGGGCGAGGGAUUUCCAGGUGGAUGUACCGAACUGGAGCGGCUUUUGAAAACAACCCUUUUGGACGAACACUGGGGAAAAUGGUACAAUUGUGAAUAAUCAUAGUACAGAAUAGCGAAGAAGCGUUUAUAUCCAAUGAGUUAACUAUGUCUUUUUGUACUCACAUCGUUUUGCCGUCAGUACUUGAACCAACAUCCUUUGAUUUUUCGCGGAAGCCUUGCUUGUCUGUGGACUUCAGGAUUCAGCCGCAAGUUGGACACAGCUAUAAAUACCCUGUGGCAUGUAAAGACACCUUUUCAGCUCUGGAUGGAUAUUAUUUCCACAAAGGAUUAAUAUCUUACACCAAUGCACUUGAAUAUUUCCGAGUCUUAGGAUUUCCUGAAUAAUGCUCUAACACAGAUUUAAGUGCCUCUCUCAAGCUUAAACAACUAUUAAAUUUGAAAUGUUGGAUUAAUCAAAGUUCGUUUUGCAAGUGUAUAUGUUUUUGCUUGAAAGUACAGAAAUGAAGAUGGCACUGGAGAAUACGGUAAUUCAGUACUGGACAUAUUAGUAUCUAUGUAAGUUCAAUGGAGACAGAGUGAACCAGGCUCUGAAAAAAAUGCAUUGUAUACCUUCAUUCCAAGUUAAUAUAAAAGGUCACAAUCCUAUAAUUGUUUACAGAUUUACAAUUUCAGGUUAUCCAUUUGAAAUAAAGGGGAAGAAUUGGUGUAGUUCAUCAAGUGUGUUCAUAAGUCUUUGUGCUUAAUUUAAGACAGUGUAGCUCUGUAACUCAAGAGUGAAAAUAUUUAUCUGUUCUUGGUAAAAAACUGAAGUUUAAUGAACUACGUAUUUGGAGUUCACCCACCUAUAUGUAUAUGGAUAUAUACACUUAAGAAUUCACAUGAAAAUGCAAUUCUAAAAUGACAAAGCUGGCCAAGAAAUCUAUUUCUAACUGACUUACCAAUUCAUGUUGAUGGAGUCUUUCUGUGACUUUAGUAAUUCAUUUAUAUAACAUUUUAUUUUCUUAAUUGGUGAGUUAGUAUGUAGUUAAAAUGUUAAUACUGAAAUUUUCAUUUUCAAAUGCCAAAUAUGGUUUAGCCAGUACAAACAUCAUCAUAAGACACAACAUAUAUUUGACUACGGUUCAGUCAGAAUUUCCCUGUGAGAAUGUCACUAGACUGUCUUAUGCUUUUAAAAUCCUGUUCAAGUAAGUGAAUUUGUAGAAACAGCUAUUUUGCUUGAGUACUAGGAUGUUACUACCUGCAGUAUAAAACAACUAAUUUAGGCCAUUAGUUGUUUUAGAAGGUGGUGCUGUAACACAGAUGAGCAAUUUUUUUUUUCCCUUAAGGGAAAUUAAACAUGUUUUAUUCCAUUAGAUAUUACUGCAAUCCACUUUUAAAAAUGAAAGAUCAAAUUAUUCAAUUGCAUUCAGCCAAGUGGUUCUGUUUAUUCCUUUUCUCUUCAAAGGUCCAUUCACAAUUUAUUGCAGAAUGCAGUUUCACCAUGUUCCUAAAAAACACUUCGGUAUCCAUGGGGUUCAUCUCAUUAUGUCUGAAAUGGUCUGAAAAAGGGAUUUUAGUAUAUUACCUGAAAGCAUACCAGGAUACUUCAAACCUUAUAUAAGGUUCCAGGCCUCAGUCAUGGGGUGGAGAUAGCCCUAAUCUGUAUGGGCGGAGCUAUGCAGUCACAUAACCAUAACGGUGGCAACAAGGCGUGUGUACUGCGCUGAACAAAGCUGGUGGCAGUGCGGAGGAGAGCAAAGCGCUCUGAAUUCCCCUGAUAAAUCACAUCGAUGUUGUCCUGAAAAUGAACUGCAAAUUUCAGGGUAAAGCUUUAGAACCUAAUCCUCCACCCUUUGAUGUCAAGGGAGAAUGUGUCUUUUGCCUUAAACAAAUGACUGGGCUCCCAUAAAUCUAAGUUAUUUGCACAGUCAGUUAUUCUGAGACCUGUUUCUUGUUCUUCAAAGAGUAUUUUAAUGCAGCUUUAAAAGGCAGGAAUGAAAGAUCUUCAUGCAGACAGUACUGUUUUAAAAAUAUAUGUUAACGCGUAGGUACCUCCUGUGCUGCUGUUUACAACUGUGUACUGAGAUAAGCAAAGAUAGCAGUUGUGUGUACACUGUUGAGAAUAGUGAAGAGACCUCUUUGCCCUCCUCAUUCUGAUGUUAACUUCUGUGACAGCUACAUGCUGUUAUUUAGCUUCAUAAAUUAUGGACAGCAUGUAAUACUACAGUAAAAACAGACCUGGCACCAAUGUUUUGUUAGAGGUUACUUGGUGUCAUUUGAUUUUUUCUAUCUAGAAUUAAUUAAAAGUGUAUUGUACAUUUCCUUUUUUGUCUCUUUAAGGGCUGGUAUUAUAUACAGGAUAUCUGAUGUUUUAAGUUGUUAAUGGGGUACGCAAAUGUUUUUA